rnacentral:rRNA from 1 species
UACGUAGGGUGCGAAGCGUUGUCCGGAAUUAUUGGGCGUAAAGAGCUCGUAGGCGGUCUGUCGCGUCGGCUGUGAAAUCCCGGAGCUCAACUCCGGGUCUGCAGUCGAUACGGGCAAACUGGAGUACUGCAGGGGAGACUGGAAUUCCUGGUGUAGCGGUGAAAUGCGCAGAUAUCAGGAGGAACACCGGUGGCGAAAGGCGGG